AGUCUGGGGCCCUUUGGCCUCUCAAAGGAAGUUCCUUAGGUGUCUUUUACACACUGAGUGCUUUGUGAUAGGUUAAGGCCUGCUGGCUGUCAACUUGGUCCCUUAAGGGAACUUGACAGAUCUUUAAAAAAAAUAAAUCAAUUUUAAGCUCACAUGCCCCAGUGGGUGCCAAAGCCACUUCAGAGAGCCUGAAAGAUGGCUGAGUCGACAGGAUUUGACUUCCAGAGGUAGAAAGACUAUACCACCAAACUACAAACAUACUGUAAUUUCAAGAAAAGGCCUUACCAGUCGUUCCCUUGGGUUUAGCGGCAAAGUCUUUUCCAGACUGCAUUUUUGAGCAAAAUACACCCUCUGUUGGAAAAUAAGAGGCUGAGAGCAUACGUCUAAUCAAGCAAUUUGGAGGAGGAAUCCUGAAUGCUACAAUACACUGAUUUCAAACUACUACUAUUCUUCUUAGCAGGAUCUGGGCCUCUAUGGUCCAGCUCACAUCGGAUAAAAGGUGAUGAUAAGAAAUAAAGCAAGAUUAUUAUUUA